CACAGACAUCUCUUAUCUCCAUAAAACUCCUAGAGAGCAUCCAGAGGAGGGCUAAGAAGAUGGUGAAGGUUCUGGAGGAUUCUUUCCAACUCAAGGUAUUCUGUGAUCCUAAAAGAGGGGCAGCAGCCAGCAAGGAUGGAAUCAUCACAAAGGGGAGAAAUUGCACUUAAUGGGAGGCAGCCAGGGUGCUUGGUGCACUUAUCACACUUGCCUGCAUCAUACUGCUUUCUCCUCUGCCUCUGCUUUUCCACAUGAGGACUCUGCUACGUGAAGGCCAAGGUAAGAGGAGGUGACUGCUUUUGAACAAAGAAUGUGUGGUGCUGAGUUUUCCCAAGGAGAUGGGCAAAGCCUAUGGCAUGGAGCAGGAGGAGCUGAGGGCAGUGGAGCUUCUACCCUGUAGAACAGGGAACUCCUGAAGUUGCCAGUCCUACAACAAGUGUUUAGAGGAAGCUGAUUGGGCUGGGGGCUUUCACAAAACACAUGUCCAAACUAGAAGUGUCUGAGAGUGCACCAGCAGUUCGUUGUGAAGCUGACAAAAGCCACAGGCAUGCAGUACUAGGCAGGACAAAGCAGUGCCUGAGGUCUCUGUGUCCAUCACAAGUAGCACUCAUGACACCAUGUUUGACUCGGGAUGCUGUGUUUGCCAAAGCCUUCAGGAGCUUACUGCAUGCUCUACCUGGGGCAGAGAGAGAGGGCAGGCCUUUAUAAAGUGAGCUCAGAGGUGCUUUCAAGUGGGAUGUCCUGCCUCUGGGUGUAUUUUAAGCCAUGUUUGUAAGCAGAAAAACUGUUGCAGCUUUUAGUGGUUUCUGUUAUUUGGUUUCGGCAUUGGUAGUGAGACUUGAGAGCCAAUCCUGAGCUCCCAGAAUCUCUGCUGUGUUGCUCCACAGACUUUACAGAAUGAUGAGCACCAAAACCAGGCUUUGUCACCACAGCAGGAAGGCUUGCAUCUCCUGUACUCACAGCUGCCCCCUGGGCAUGAGAGCAUCUUGGGCAUGGCCUGUCCUCACUGUGUCUCUUGAGCCAUCUUGUUGUUGAGGUGGUUGCAUGAACCAGCUAAACAUCUAAACAUUUCUUAAACGUUUCUUUGUGAUUUUGAUACUUGUGCUCAUCUCCCAUAGAUUCAUGGCUGAAGACAUCACGAAAGAAAACAAACCUCCUCCAAACAGUUGUGCAUGUAUAAAUCACCUACAUAUGUUUCUUGUUCCUUGCUAUGCAUGGGUUUCUUUUUAAUAUAAUUCUUGGCACGACAGAAACCAUGUUGGUGACAUUAUUAGUAUUGUUGGCCUGGAAUGUUUUUAAUAACAUUGAGUUUGUUGGUACAGAGCGUGAAUUAGUUGUCAGUUCUUGAGAAGUCAGAAUGUAAUUGCUGAUCAAACAUUUAAAAUAUGAUUUGUAUUAGCGAUGGUUUUCCCUAUAAAUUCUUUCUUAUGGCCAUUAGGCAGGAAGCCAAAAGCUGACAGUGUGGCAGCUCUGCUCAGCAGUCACAGUUUGGAGCGCAGCUCCAGGCUUCUAUUCCUGACUGAAUUUCUCAUGUUUUUCAGAGGGGUUUUUUUUUUCUUUUUUUUUCUUUUUUUUCUCUUUUGGCAAGAAAAGCUUGAAAAUAAGCUUAGGCCAACCUGAAAUACAUCUUUCUCCCAUUCUGCCUUUCCAGGGCUGCUGUCAGGCUGACAGAUCAGUUACUGCACAGCUCUCUCUAUUACUCUCUAUAGAAAUAAAUCUGCGUUUCCUCCCAGACUGUUCUCCAUCACCCUGCCUUCUUUCAUAGCCAUCACAAAAUGGGUGUGGAAGCAAAGUACUUUUUGCAGACACCUCUACAAAAUGUGGACUUCACCUGUGAAACCAUAGAAUUAGUGAGAGUAAGCCAAAGCAGAAGGUUUGUUUUUUUUUUUAAACUGAGUUCAGCUCCAAGUAUAAUGUUUUAACAGAUUAAUCUACCCUUCCUUCCUGUUGGUGUUGAGAUUAUCAUUCCAUGAGUAUUGUUCCUCCCUUCCUCCGACCUGCACAUGCUUCUUUUGACAACAUAGUGUGCAGACAAAUUAUUCACGCUCCACUGAAGUGCUGUUCAUCUAAUAGAUAGAAAAUUCUUGUCAGAGAAAGGGGAGGAGAAAGAGACUUCUAUGGGAAGAAACACCAGUGCUACACAGGAGCCCGCUAAUGAUGGGGAGCAAAGAACAGUGACGCUUCCCAUUGCUUCAGCACCCCAGUGACAGAACUUUCCUUCUACAACUGUUGGGAGGGAAAAUGCUAUUCCGGUAUUAAUGCUGUCAGAUUAUCUCAGCAUAGUUCAGGGUAGGUAUUUUCAGGACAGCAGACCAAACGGGUCAUUUGGCUAUACUUUCUAUGGCAGAUCAAAGCUUCAUCACUCUCCUUGUUCAGUAUCUUCUGGUUACUCUUAAAAUGUGAAGCUCGUUUGUUCCAGUAGCUGACAAAGGAGCCUGGCUUCUUGGCCCAUAAACUUCCACCUCUGUGCUGAACUCCUCAGCAGGUUCCCAGAAGGCAUGUACCACAGCUGGUUGAACCUGCAUGACCAACUGAACUCUUCAGAGCAAAUUCCUUUCUCCUUUUGCUGGCUACAUAUUUCUCUGAGCUCAUUUCUUUGCUUACCCUGUCAUCAUCUGGAGUUUGCCUUCAAGAUAAUACCAUCAGUUAAUGUUUGCAUAAUGUUUGAAAAGUCUGAAGUACCAAUUCAGAAAAUUCAUUGCAUUUUUUCUUUGUGUUCCUCCUGACACUCUUUCCCAAUCCAGGCAUGCCAGUUUCCCUCUGAAGCCUGUUGUCUUGCGUCCCAACAACUGGUACCUGUUCUCAGCUUCAUCCAUGCCUGUUUAACUUCUGUGCUGCUGGAAGUACGGUGUGGAACUGGAGAUUUGCCAGUUGUGGCUAAAAUUUCUCCAUCACUGUUGCUCUGAGCUAAAAAUAAAUGAAUAAAUAAAUCAUCAGAAUCAGCGAGCACCCACCUGAUGCACUGCACUUCAGUAAAGUUGUCUGUGCUCUGAGCUGAGAUUCAGCCCACUCCUGUUUCUGCCUUUCAUGGGCCCUCUUCAUGGAUGACAACCUAGGCAUACUCCAGGCUCUUACUAGUUGGAUCCUUGUGCCCUGCUUAUCCUGCUCAUGCCAUGGGACCACAGCCAUACAGAAAUCCAACCUUUAAUGGAUGUUUUGAGAUGAUUCCUGCUGGAGGACAAAAGAUCAUCGAAGUGAGCUACUAUCUGCCAUUUUGGAUAAGAUGAUUCCUUUCGGAGAGAAAAAUAUGAAAAGGAAAAGAGAAUCCCUGCCCUGAUAUUCAUCAAGCCAGCAGGAAAAGCAUGCAGAAAAUUCUGGUAUUGUGAAACUGGUACACCUUUGCUUCCAACUCUGGCUGAUUAUUCUGAAAUUUAAUUAAGCAGCACCUUUGAGUUUUUUUUUUCUUUUCCAUUUCAUAUUAGCAAAUUAACUGUUUUACUUUGAGAAAAAGCUUAUAUGUCACAGGUGACCUCAUCUUUGGCAAACAGGUUUUUGCCACAUCUUUCUGAGAAAACAAUCUUGCAUUACUUACAAUGAGAAGUUUACCAAAACAAUUCUAGUUUAAAUCAAAAUGUAGCAAAAAUGCUUUUGUGACCUGAAAAUUCAGCUGCCAUGGGUGGACGAGCUUUAGCUAAGGCAGAGGACUGGGAACUGGGAGAAAGCGUGCCAAAGAAUGAGGUCAUGGCAGAACUCUGGCAUCCACAGUCAUGGUCUUCAAGGACCUGAGUCCUGGGGAUGGAAGGCCUACUUUUGUCAAGCAGCCUUGGGAAAAGACACACAACAGCAACCAUGCUACUGCUGGAGCUGGGGGCUUUUGUCAGAGAUCACAUAGAUGCUUGGCUCUGAGCUCUCUUGCAAGUGGGCAAGUUGUUCCACAAGCAUUCUGUGGUGUGCUGUAAUGUAUUUGUGACUUUCAUUAAUAUGUUCAGCAAUUAAUUCAGCGCACCUGCAAGAUAAAUUAGAUGUCUUCUUUCAUCAUCCAGCAUUAUGGGAAGCUGUUUUGCUGACACAGUGCAGGGAAUGGAAACAUGGCUGUCUGUGGGUUUGAUGGCCAAAACUGCAGUCAGAUCAGUGGUGCUGCAACUGGCAUGCUGUUGUGUGGUGCUGGGGGCACCACACAAUGACUAUGUUUGGGCAAAUUGUUUCCAUAGUUUGAGAGAGAAAAGCAGCUUGUUGCUGGUCCAGAUUUUGUAAUUCAGAAGUUCUCUGUGGGUUUAGAUGAAAGUCAUGUUGAUGGAUAUUCCAGUUUGGCGAGCAUCUACAUGGGAAAGCAGUGUUUUAUGGUCAUCCUGGCCCACUGGGCUCACCUAGUAAAGCAGCUUACAAGUAAUUUGUAAGUUUUGGGGUGGUUUCAAUCACUCUUUUAUAGCUCAUAUAUAUAUUUUUAAAUCAUGGUUUAAUGAUGUGUACAGCAAUAGUCCAAGAGAUGGCUUGAAUGCUAUUAGGGUCAUACCCAAAUGUUGCCAGUGUCAGAUCAGAAGCCUGAGCCAAGCAAAGAGACAGUUUUUCCUUCCUUCCUCCUUCUAUUUUUCACUCUUUUCCUCAUAAAUGUGACUAAAAAUAAUGUGCCCUGCUUGCCUCAUUUGCUAAGUAAAACAUGCAUACCUGCUUGUUAAACUGUAAUUUUAGCUUCACUUUGAUUGAUUGCUCAAGUAGGAAAGGUUUGAAUUUUCGUCUUGUGCAGACACAUUCAAAUUAGGUGGCAAGUCUGUUGGAUGCAUUGUUUUUGUGAAGACUGGAGCUUCCCAAAUGACUGAGAAAAGUUUAAAUGAACUUAAUGAAUUUUAUUUUCUUUAUUUCCCCCUUUUUCUUUUUUAGCUGGUACUUUAACAAGGUCGGUAAAGUACUUGAUGUUUUGGAAUGGUGAGUGCAUACCUCCUGAGUGAAGUGCAGCCAAAGCUGCAGCUGCAGCUCUUUCUACAUGCUGUUCAUUGGCUUGGGGGCUGCUAGGGCUGCCAAUGGGGCAGUUCCACCACUGGCUCAGGCCCACAAUGCUUGUGAUUAGCUGCACGAGAGGGGAGGUGCUGAGGUGGAGUGCCUGGAGAAAUGCCACCACUAAAACACCAUAGGGUGAUAUGGAACCCCUAAAAAUAUAACUGUCUUAGUGUUUUGUCCAAUUGUAUGUUCUGGAGCUUCAUGUUAAUACUUGAAGCAAAGACUGGUUUUGGUUGUGGUUUGGUUUUCUGUUUUUCAUGUCUUCAUGCCUACUUGCAGCUGGUAGAUUAAGAGCUCUGCAUGUCCCCUAGUCCCUGUAGGGGCUAUAUGCACAGCCAACCACAUGCUAGAUGAAAUUAGUGAUCUUUUCCAGCCCCGAUGAUUCCGUUUUUUCUGUGCACUACUGCCUGUUGUGAGCUGGCACACUGGGCAGGGAAGGUACCUGUGUGACUUUGAAUGCUUCCACUGAAGCACAACACUUCUGAAACUAAUGGUGAUUAUUCUCUGUCGAACUGGCAAGGAUGGGUUUUUGGAACAGAAUACCCGGAGCUGAAUUCAGCCUGGUGUGGGAGGUUAUUUCAGUCUGAAUUCCUUCUUUGUAGGAAGACUAGAAAAAAGGAGAGAGAAGAAAGAUGGAAGCCAAGGGAUCCAGGUUGAGUUCAAAGCCACUACUUGCUUACUGGUACUUCUAAAAAACUGAUUUGGAGCAACACUGGCAGGAUUAAAAUGGCCCUGCUGGACCAGACCAAUGCUCUGUAGGUGACUGAGUCAAGCAACAAAUGUUUACAGAAUGUGUACAACCUUUCAAUAGCCAGAGGUUUUAACCUCAGCAUCUGGGCCACCAUGGUCCAGCGAACAAUGGAUCCACACUCCAACAACACAUUGCAUCUCUUGAAUUGCAUGUUAAUUUUUUUGCAAACCACAGCAUUUUGUGGCAACAAGUACUAGGACUAAUCCCUCUCUCCAUGUCAGGUAGUUACACAUUUAAUAAUUCAUUGUAAGGAAAAUUACUUUCUUUGGCUUUUUUUAUUAGACUUGCAGGCAGACAUUGUUAUUUGACACUGUGUGGUUAUUUUACUAGAGAAAUGAAUUUGUUUUAAAGGUUUUAGAUAAAUCAACUUCUCAACUGGAAGCAGAUUUCCACUCAGCUCUGUUGAUGAGAAAUCUCAAUCUACUUCAGAUAAAAUUAGCUGGGAGAUUAUAACCUCUUGUUAGCAACGUGGGUAGUAAUAUCUUCAGAUGGUAAAACCAGAUUUGGAAGAGAACAUCUGCCCAAGCCUCAGGCUGUGAAAGCCAGCUUAAAGUGAAGUAAAUUUUGAAUGACUGUCACUGAACUUGUGCAGUGGAACCUGAGGGAGUAUCUCUGCGUUAGAAAAACCUGAUUUGUUGUAUCUUGUUUUGGAUUUGCUUGGGCUUUGUCCUCUUUGGGUAUGAUUCUGUUCUGUGUGAAAAACCUUCAGUCUCUGUGGAUACACAGCCAAUGUUUCCUUGUGUCUUCAGAUGCAACAGUCACGUAAGUAACUAUAUCCUGAUAAUAAGUGGGUGAAAUCACAAAUUGGUUCACUUCCCUUCCUCUUUUUCCUUCUAAUCAGAAGAUGAAGCCACUUCAGAACUGCAGAGGAGGCUGUGCUACCAUUGGUAUGCCAUGCCUGUGGUAAGCACACAUUUUAAAUCACAGUUCUAGAGCCUGUUUAUGCAGACAGAUGUCAUGUGCUUAAAAAUAAUGAGUUUAUUCAGAAAGAAAAAUUCCCCCAGAAGUGAUUAAUUAAUGGAGACUCAUUCUCAGUGUAACAGCCAGCUAGAAUUAUUUCAGGCGUUCUCUUGAAGUCAAUUACCUGUUGGAAAAUCUGUUCUCUACACCAAGUUGGUCCAAGUUCCACAGCUAGCAAUAAUGAAGCAGUGGUAUAUAGCAAGAAACAGUAAAUUUUUCAUAACUGCUUGUUCUUCUCAUUGUAAUACAUCAAUAGGAUUAUGAGACAGCGAUCUAGUUUUUGAAGUUUAAAGUUAAGAGACAAGGCAAACAGUGGCUUUUCUGACCACUGAUGUAGAGGUGUCAUAUGUUUUUUAUUAAAAAAAAGACCUGGGAUCCAAUAAUUUCAAGGUGAUUUACACAGUAAAAUAGUUUGCUUUUUCAAAUGCAUGUAUGGAUUUGUGAAAAAGUGAGAGUGACAAUCCAUAGGUGUGACUGGUGACUCAGUAUUGUAGGUGCUGACUCUUCAUCGUACCUUACCUCAGACUGCAUUCAGCGUGAAAGGGAAUAGCUGUGUCACAGAGCAUUCUAACAAAAUUGUGAUUGCUGCUGUUCAAGAUCGUCACUGCUGUUAUGAAACACAGGUAGACGCUGUGUGGCAAACACAGUGCAGCAAAAGCCUCUGUCAUGGUUCUUUCCCAGUCCUUCAACUCGUACCCAGGUGCAGGCCCAGGUAAAUCAUUGCCACAGUGAGCUGCCCUGCUGGGCUGGAGCUGCAGCCCAUCUUCCCCCCCAGCAUUUUCUCCCUUUUCUCCCUACUUUCAGAGUUUCAUAAUGGAGUUAUAAAAACACAUUUCACAGUGAAUCUUGGCAAAGUGACAGCUGAAAAAUGACUUUUCCCUAGUAAUUUUAAACGCAUCAGCUCAGUCAGUGUUAAGAUAUUCUAAGAAACAGAAGUUGGGAGAAUAACAGUAUUUAAAAAGCGUGACGUCUCAGGUUGAUCCUGAUGGGAAGAUGUCAUUUGUCUUUUGAUGAUAAAAAGAUCUGAGAUCCAAUAAUUUCAAAAUAUUAAUGAAAUGCUAUAUAAGCAUCAAAUGAAUAUAUUGACUGGGGCUGGGACUGCUCUUUUCCUGUAGUUACAUAACAUGUCUUGUCUAGUAAAAGAAACAAUAUGUAAUUGUAGGUAUUUACGCAGCUGACAGACCAGAAAGGCUUCUGUGGGAUUGUUCAUGUCUCUGAAGUAAAUUGAAUGCAUUUUGUAAAAUUUUCUAAUUAUGUAUUUACUCAAGGAUCUGUUCUGAUCUUCAGGGUAAGUACUGCAACUCAAUGUUGACAUAGAAAAAGAGGUAUGUUUUAUUUUUUAUUUUUUUUUUCCCAUAGGUUUAUACAAACAAAGCUAUGCUUUACCGUGCAGUGUCGUGGUUCACCUUUCCACUUACACAGACUAACUCACCGCUGCUAGUGGUCUCAGCCACUGCCGAUGAGAGGACUGUGGAGGCUGCCCUGGCAUGGAGAUAUUCAUACCUUUCUAUUUGGCAAGAGUAUCCCCAAAACAAAGGUUGUCUUGCUGGAUUGCUUCUUAUACCUUGUGGAUUGUGAGGCUGCACGAAUGCUUGAGCUGACACCAGCAAAAGGGCAGAUUGAAAAUGAUGGUCUUGUUCUUAAAGGAGAGCUGACUGUGGCCAUGCUGAGCACUUCUCAGGAUGAGACCUGCACAGAUCACCUCACAUUAGAAUUCCAUGUCUGACAGCAGCUUCGGAAAGGCAAUGGCAAAUCAGUCUUUUCUGAGGAGGAUAAACAACUGGCAACAAAUGUAGGCAGGAAAGGGUAGCUGUUCAGAGCAUCCUGCAGCAGGCUUCACCCUUGGUUUCUGCUUGCUUUCUGCCUCUUGAAGAAUAAAUGAAAAUGUAUCUCGAGAAAUGAGGUUCCUAGAAAGAAGUUCAAAUUCCAGAUGGCUGAUACCACCCAGGCACCAGCUGUUGAGGAGGGCCACACAUGUCCAGGGUGUGUGUACAGUCCUUGGUAUGAGAAUCGCCCUCCUGAUUACCAUCGGAGAACGUAGCACGUACCAAUAUAAGUAUUGUUUUGUUAGAAGUGAAACCUUUACCAAGCAAUACCAAGGAGCAAUCAAAGGUCACCUGGGCACUGGAUACGUUUUCCGUGAAGGCUGAAGCUCAUAACUCAACAAGAGAAUCCACAGUGAUCUCUAAAAGUCAGUACACGUGGUGAGCUCCACCCAGCUGCUCUUGAAACGUCUUAUUUUUGCUGUGAUGCAUCAGGGAGUCAACCAUGUCUUCGGGAGUGCCCUUGGAAAUUUUCAAGAGAAAAAUUAUUGACUCGAGAUGGAGAAGAACUGGGACAAGAAUGCCCUUGCUUCCAGACUCUUCAUCACCCAUCUGUGAUUCUUACAUUCAUGUGACUUGAACCAGAAAGCCAUAAUGUAACCAAACGCAAUAAUCAGGCGGGGGAAAGAAGGGAAGGAGAUUCCUUUGGUGCUUUGCUGAAAGCUGAUGUGGAUAUGAUUGCUGCUGGUCACCUCCUGUGACCACGCAUGCGACUGCAUUGUGCCCAGCUGCUGCUGUGCCCAGCCAUUCCACAGGCUCUGUCAUCUCCUUGACAUCCCAUUGGAAGGGACUGUAGGAGGAAAGGGCCAUGUUUCAUGUGAGAGAUGUCAGAUCAGAUUCCAGCCCCUAUGGAAAUGGUGUUGUCAGUGAAGUUAGGCAACAGGAAUAUUUUGCUAUGGAGGAGACACUUCUGAAAUGCUGUGAUCAGGGGUGACCACUGCUCAGAGAGGCCUGAAGUGUUCUGUGAUGUUUUGAAUCCCAUGCAACCAUACCAGAGGGGAUGAAUUUUUUGGUAACUGUUUUGCUGAGGAAGCAACAAUAGCUUCAGGUGUCCAACCUCCUCCUUUCCUCUCUUGGGAAGGACCAUCACAGCCAGUCCCAGAGUGGGAUGGGAAUGAAGCAGCAGAGGCUGAUGAGAAUGCCUUUCUUCAACUGAGGGCGUGAAAGAACAAUUUCCCAUUGCUAGGAAUGGAGGUGCUGAGUUAACAUCAACUUUGCAGACUGUGUUGAUUUUCUGCGUGGUUCACUCUAGGCUUCCUAUAACAGACAGCUUAUUAUCUCGCCUUGUGAAAAUCAUACUUGACUUCUGGGAGACGUCUAUCAAAAGGAAAGAAUAGACUGAGAAGCUGGUACUUUCGAUCUAAUUAUCUGGGUUGGUGGUUGUUCAGUGAACCUAUUAACUGCUUGAAGUGACUUGCAUCUUCACAGGAAGAUGACUAAAGACAUGAUGCUGCACGUUUCAGCUUGGAUAUUUCAAGAACUGUACAUCUUUCUAGGAAAGCAGAAAUUUUACUUUACUCUCUUUUAAUGCAUUGUGAAAUGAAAGGUGCCAAUUUUAUUCUCCAUUUUUGGUAAGCAUUUUCUCAAUUUAUACAAGCUUCUGACUCCUCAAAAACACGUUUAAAUUAUUUGGUAAAAAGUGCAUGUGGUAAAAAAUGCAUACAUUAUUUGGUAAAAAAAAGUCCACAAUACCUGUAUUUAUCAUUACUCCUGCUACAAUGCUUCCCCAGCCGCAUAGGAUAACUGUUAAUUACUAUGUAAAUACGACAUUUAUAUAAAUACAUGCCACAUAGCUGGUGGCUAGACUAAGUUUAAGCACUUUUCUUAGUCUCUAAGACCACUGCACUUGAUAAGUAAACAAUGAUUUUUAAGAGCUGGAUAUAGAAGUCAGUUUCUUGGUCCAAUGUACGUCAAAAAAAAGCUUAUGAAAUAAGCACGUAAGAGUUGCCAAGAUCAACAACCUUUAAAUGUUCAGAGCUGAUGAUCUUAACCUCCUCGUCUCCACUCCCUUCCUAUCCACUAACAAUUCUCUGUACUUUCUUCAGAUUCAACUUUCACUCCAAAUUUAUUACCAUGGAAAUAAAAAAAACAGCUUUGUUUUUAAGAUGACUGCUAGUAACACAGACAGGCUUCCUAUUGGAAAAUUAAGCACACGCCUCACUACAACUUCCCACAUUACUUGCUGGCUCCAAAGUGCUACAAUCCUAACUUAUUCCUAUUGCUUGUACAACCAGCAUGACCCUGCUCACACCAAAGUAGUUACUACAAAUAAAUAAAUAAGAAGUCCAACACAGGAUCCAUUGCACAAACAUUUAAACAAAUGGAAUAAUUUCUUUUACAAAUGUGUUUCUGUUGUAUAAGAAUAAUCUUGUACAGAAAAUAGCUCUUUAUGCAUCUUACAGAAACGCUAACAUUUAGAUUCUCUAUUCAUGGACAGUGUUUGAAUGCAAUUUAAGAUUCCAGCUAUGCUUUAUAGUUACCAAAUGUCAAUAAAGCAGCAGUACAUCAUUGUCUAAUAUCCUUAA